rnacentral:rRNA from 1 species
UACGUAGGGUGCGAGCGUUGUCCGGAAUCAUUGGGCGUAAAGAGCGCGUAGGCGGCCCUGUAAGUCAGACGUGAAAUCCCUCGGCUUAACCGGGGAACUGCGUCUGAUACUGGAUGGCUUGAGUUUGGGAGAGGGAUGCGGAAUUCCAGGUGUAGCGGUGAAAUGCGUAGAUAUCUGGAGGAACACCGGUGGCGAAGGCGGCAUCCUGGACCAACACUGACGCUGAGUGAGCGAAAGCCAGGGGAGCAAACGGGG